rnacentral:rRNA from 1 species
GAUGAACGCUGGCGGCGUGCCUAAUACAUGCAAGUCGAGCGAACGGACGAGAAGCUUGCUUUUCUGAUGUUAGCGGCGGACGGGUGAGUAACACGUGGAUAACCUACCUAUAAGACUGGGAUAACUUCGGGAAACCGGAGCUAAUACCGGAUAAUAUUUUGAACCGCAUGGUUCAAAAGUGAAAGACGGUCUUGCUGUCACUUAUAGAUGGAUCCGCGCUGCAUUAGCUAGUUGGUAAGGUAACGGCUUACCAAGGCAACGAUGCAUAGCCGACCUGAGGGGGUGAUCGGCCACACUGGAACUGGGACACGGUCCAGACUCCUACGGGAGGCAGCAGUAGGGAAUCUUCCGCAAUGGGCGAAAGCCUGACGGAGCAACGCCGCGUGAGUGAUGAAGGUCUUCGGAUCGUAAAACUCUGUUAUUAGGGAAGAACAUAUGUGUAAGUAACUGUGCACAUCUUGACGGUACCUAAUCAGAAAGCCACGGCUAACUACGUG